rnacentral:rRNA from 1 species
AUACGUAGGGGGCAAGCGUUAUCCGGAUUUACUGGGUGUAAAGGGAGCGUAGACGGUUCUGCAAGUCUGGAGUGAAGGCCCGGGGCUCAACCCCGGGACUGCUUUGGAAACUGUGGAACUGGAGUGCAGGAGAGGUAAGUGGAAUUCCUAGUGUAGCGGUGAAAUGCGUAGAUAUUAGGAGGAACACCAGUGGCGAAGGCGGCUUACUGGACUGUAACUGACGUUGAGGCUCGAAAGCGGUGGGGAGAC